rnacentral:piRNA from 1 species
UAGUUAAUUGGUGUGUUUGU